GUGUAUUUGUUAACAAUUUUGUAAUUAUUCUUUUGGGAAAAAAUAGCAAAUAAUUAAUUUAAAAUGGAUGAUGCCGAUUUAACAAAAAAAGCCAUUGAAGAGUUAAUGCGUGAAAUGGAUGAGUAUAAGGAACUGGAAAAAUUGCCUACAGAAAGAAAAAAGAAUCCCUUGGGCAGACCAAAUAAACGUUUUUUAGGACGAACUAUUAAUUCCAUGAUGACACAUAAUAAACGACAAAGUGAUCGUAAUCAUCAGAGAUGUCAAAGGAAACUUAAAGAAUUGGAUGAUAAAAAAACGAGAAGAGAAUUUAGAAAUCAGGCAAGAUCAACAAGAAAGUCUAGUGAUGCAGAGAGUUCCAAUAUAAUAAGUAGUGAUAGUGAAGAAGAAUACACAAAGAAGAAAAGUAAAAGUGUAAAGAAGAAAAAGAAAAAAAGGCGCAAGAAAAAACAAAAGUCUUCCUCGUCCUCUUCCUCAACGACAUCCUCCUCAAGCAGCAGUAGUAGUAGUAGCAGUGAAACAGAGUCAAGUAGUAGUAGUUCGAAUUCUAAGCAUAAAAAUCGCAAAAAGAAAAGACAUAAAAAACCCAUCAAAGAUGAAGAAUAUGCAGAUGAUUGCUACGAGGAUUAUCCCAAUGAAAGGGGUUACUAUGUUAAUCCCAAUAUGGCUUAUGCUGUUAUGGCUUAUAACCAAAUGAAUCAUUUGCUACAGCAACAGCAAAGAGCACAACAAGAAAUGGUUAAGGAGGAAUUAGAAGAUAGUGUAGAAAUACCAAGUGAUCUUAGUUUAUCGGAACAUUCCGAAACCGGUUUGAAUAUAAGUCUAAAUAGUUCCUCUGCCGAAGAAGAUGAAAAUGGUAUAUUAACUUUCAAAUUGUCCUCAGAUGAGGAAGGUAAUUCACCUAAGUCCAAUGAGGCAAAAGAAGAUUUAAAUAAAAACCACAAUUCUCCCAAGGAGAGCGAGAACAGUGAUAGAGAGAGCAUACAAUCACACAUAUCUUUAGAAUCUGAAGAUUCUCAUAAAGUUACCAAUAGGGAAUGCAAUCAAAUAUGUUUAUUAAGCAGUUCGGCAUCGGAUUCUGAAGAUUUGGAAAUAAUAGAAACCAUAGCAGAUAAAACGAAUGAAUUAUUGAAUAGCGAAACAAAUUCAAAAGAGAACGCAAUAGUAAAUGAGAGUUUGAAUAAAGAGAACAACCUAAAUAUAGAAUAUGAAUCAAUAGGAAAUGUUAAUAUAGAGGAAUUAAAUGAAAAAAAUCCAGCCUUAGAGAAAGAAGAAAAUGAACAAAAAACUUUAGUUAUACAUGAGAAAUGUCAAAAUAUUGAUGAAACCAAUAAAGUCGUAGAAGAUAUAGAAGCAAAUGGGAAUGAUAAGCCUGUUCACAUGACAAACAACAAGGAAACGCUUACAAGCAUGUUAAUGGUGAACUUAACUGAUGAAUAGUUACAAUGAAAAGAGCGCAUAUUCUUUUUUUAUUAAAUUUGUAAAAUAUGUAGCCUUUUGGCCAAUAAAAGAUUUAACAAUUGGAAUCUUUAUGGGUUUAGAUAAAUAUAUUAUAUUGGGAAAUUAUAUCCAAAAUUCCGGUAACUUUUCGUUCUUUCGGAACCUCACCUUACUGUCGAUAUCUUUUAUUUUCUUGUAUCGUCUGUCGCUUGCAGUUUGAAUUCUAAUCAGAUUCAUUUAUUUAACAUAUCAACAGAGCCCUGCGCUGACAAUAUCGUCGGCCUAAAAUCGACUGUAAGCCGGCAAAUUAAAAAAAGCAGAAAACAGUUUGGCGCGAAAAAUUCCAGCAGAAUAUCUUAUUGCAGUCGACAGAAUUGAUAUAGAUAAUAUAUAGAUAAGUGCAGUUGGACUUCCCAUUUAAAAUACACAUGUUCGAUAUCCAAGCCUUGUACCAGCAAUGUAAAAAUUUGCAGCUUGGUUGACGUCAACGAAGCUGGUUUGAUAAAAGAAAACGGGGUUAAAUAAAAAGGAAUUAAUUUUAUAUUGUAAAAUUCCAUAAAUUUAGCGAAGGGUUCUUUAAAUUCGGUUCGGCUAGGCUUAAAGCAGCAUCGGCACGGGUCUCUGUCUAUCAACCAUAUAAUAGUUGGCAACUCACUUAUAUUGACAAUACACAUACAUAUUUCAAGCUGGCAAUACUCUGUCAUACAUAUUUUGUCAUUUACCAACACUGUUGCAAGCCACCAUCUUUUCGGUAUCUAUUGAAAAAAUUAAGCUGACAGUCAGACGUGUUUCCCAAAAAAUUCAUAAUUUUUUGGGGAAAUUUAUUGUUAAAUAUACAUAAAAAUACAAGAAAAAUAUAAAAAUUAACAGCGGAAAAAAGACUAGUCCUAACAGCCGGUGAAAUUUAUUUUAUUAAUAAAGUGAAAACGCUUAAAGCAAUUUUUCAAAACAUUAAAAUUUUAUGAAAUUUCCAAUAAAUUCGUUUAAUAAAUUUAUAAAAAUUAUCUUUAAAAAUAAAAUUAAUCAUGCCGGCAGCUAACGCAAAAAUGGCUGCCAGUAAUAAAAAGUCUAUAAGCAGCGGUGUCUUUGUUUUCUAUUUCUCUAAAUUUUCUUGGUGUUCGUUUAAUUUUCUAUAUUUUAUACACAUAUUUAAACAAACAACAAAUAAAAAUUAAAAAACAUGGUUUUGGUUUUUGCUCUGAAAAAAAGUAUCCAAUGUUUUAAUCUAAUUUAGAAUAUCCGUGGUUUUAAAACGUUUCGGUUUGGAAAAUCGUUACAACACACGUACGUUUGCGGUUACUUUUGUUACA